UGCCUUGCCCACCUGAGGCCCUGGGUUCCAUUCCAGAGUCACGGAUAAAAUGCAAAAAGUGGGGCUAGGAGCUAGCCCAGCAGGUGUGAUGCUUGUCCAGCCAGCAUAAGGACUGGGGUGCAGGGGGAUCAUGUGCUUGUCAUCUCCGUUCUGGGGAGGUUGAGGCAGGAGGAUCCCCAGGGCUCCCUUGGCCAGCCCGCCUAGCCAAAUUGGCAAGCUCUAGGCCCAUGAGACCGACAACCUGAGAUACGCCAGCUGAGGUUGACUUCCGGCACCCACGAAUACACAAACAUACAUGUGUACCUGCAUGCACACGGGCAUGUGCGCACGGGCAAAUGUGAAGAAAACCCAAAGCAUCUGCUGGGUUGGGAGCCGUCUGUCACGCAGCCAGCAGUGACUCACAGAGAAGUGAACGGAGCCCAGGAGAACCGUCCACCCCCACCCAUUCUCUGCGCUUGAGGACAGAAGAGGUGGGCCACCUCAGCCUGACCAGGAGAGGGGGCGCACCUGUUGUCGAAGAAGGCACGGACGAUUUUGGAUCGGAUCGGGUUGAGCUCCAGGUCAGGUACAUUGUUAAAGUUCUCCUUGCUGUAUUCCAGGACACACACAGAGAGAAAGCACAAGACGACAGUCAUCAGUGCCAUCUGACACAGGCCAUGAGGUAUCCCUUCAUCCCCGACAGCCCCACCCUCUCCUCAGGCCUCUUGCCUACAGACUGGGCGCCACUGGAGCUUGACACUUAGAGGAAGCUGAGAGGUGGGUGGCACACUCACACUCCUCACACUGCAGAGACGAGAGCUGCAGAGUCUGGAAAGGGGGAAAGUGGAAAGGGGAGCCCUGCAGUGGCUGCACUGGGCUCCCACCAGCAGGAUACAAGCCAGAAGGGCCUUGUUAUGGUUUGUAUGUGCUCGGCCCAGGGAGUGGCACUAUUAGAAGGUGUGGCCCUGUCGUAGGAGGUGUGGCCUUGUUGGAGGAGGUGUGGCCUUAGAGGAGGUGUGGCCCUGUCAGAGGAGGUGUGGCCUUGUUGGAGGAGGUGUGGCCCUGUCGUAGGAGGUGUGGCCUUGUUGGAGGAGGUGUGACUUUGUUGGAGGAGGUGUGGCCCUGUCGUAGGAGGUGUGGCCUUGUUGGAGGAGGUGUGUCAUUGUGAGUGUGGACUUUAAGACCCUCACCCUAGCUGCCUGGAAGCCAGUAUUCUGCUAGCAGCCUUCAGAUGAAGAUGUAGAACUCUCAGCUCCUCCUGCACCAGGCCUGCCUGGACACUGCCAUGCUCCCACCUUGUUGAUAAUGGACUGAACCUCUGAACCUGUAAGCCAGCCCCAACUGAAUGUUGUCCUUUAUAAAACUAACAUUGGUCAUGGUGUCUGCUCACAGCAGUAAAACCCUAAGACAGGCCUCAAGGAAAUGGACUCUCAUGACAUGGUGCCUCCUAGCAUGCACCCAAGAGACUGCAGCACACACAGGCAGUCUCCAUGGGAGCAAGGCUCGUAAGAACUGCAGAAAGGCCAACAGUGCCUGCUCCCAGGUAAAUCAAUAGCUGAACUGAGGACUGUCCACCCAGGGGAACAUUAUACAGCCAGGAAAAGAACUAACUGGACACUGAUACCCACUGCAGGAGGAUGAACCUGAAAACUGACAGUGUUGGAAAGGCAUUGGCAGUGAAAAGUCACAUGACUCUAUUUAAAUGUGUCCAGAACAGGCUGAGCGGCUGAAGCAAAAAGCAGGAGGGGGAUGGCCCAGGGCUCAGGGAGCCAGAAGACAGACACCUAAGGGGACAAGCUUCUCUUAGGUGACAAAUAUUCUGUAUAUUCGCUCUGCAGAGACACUGGCACUGCUGUGCAUUUUUACAAUUGGGCUGUAAGGUGUGUGAGUUUUAAUUCAGAAAAGGCAUUCAUCCUACCAGCAGCUAUGGGUCCCAGCAGAGGGGAUGCAGACACAGUCUCAGCUGCCCAUCCUCGGAGGAGGACCAAAGCCUCCAUUAAGGCUGCCUGCGCCUGUCCUAUAGCAAUGACCUUCUGAGGGACCUCCGUCCUAGUCUGGUACUCCAGGAGACAAAAAUGAAUGCUCAGGAGGGGGAGGGGUUGGCUGAUUUAAAAAAAAAAAGAGGACAUUAGGGAGAGUUGUGACACUGGACUAGACCUGGGCGAGAGCCAGGCGAGUCAAGGCUGUUUGACUUGGGAGGUCUACAAACAGUCCCUUAUCCUGCCCUGGCUGGCUUUACCUCACAGGAGGAGCCUCAGGCUCCAGACUGGAGCAGGACCAGGUGACCGGAUCUCUCCUGUUCCCGAUGCCCCUGGGCGGCUUCCUGCCCUUCCCUCAUGGCUGGACUGGUGGCAUCUAGCCAGACAGGAGCUGGUGACUGGGCAUAGCCAAGUCACAGCUCUACAUUCACCAGAGCCCAGUUUGGAAGGACACAUUUAGGACAGUUGUCCGAGUGUGCUGGGUGCCACCAUGAGAGAGAGGGGUGGGGGAGGGAGAAAGAGAAGCAAAGAGAAGAGAGAAAAAAGCAAGCAAGCUUUGGGACAGGGUGGAGUUGGCACAAGGAAUGGAGUUGUGGGGCUAAUGAGAUGACCAAGAGGGUGAAGACACUUGCUGUGUAAGCCUGGUGACCCGAGUUCAAUUCCCGGAAGUCGAAUAAAUGUGGAAGGAGAGAACCAACUCCACAAGGUUGUUGGAACACACGGUAACAUCUUUAAAAAGGAAUCCAGUCGAGUGGGCAGAGCGGUUCAACCCAAAGUCCCGGGGACUCGAGAAGCCGAGCCCAGGAUUUUGAGGCCAGCCUGGGGAACACAGAGAGUCUCAAAAACAAAGAAAAAAAAAAUAUCCAGGCAAGUGUGGUGGUGCAUGCCUUUAAUCCCAGCACUCAGGAGGCAGAGGCAGGUGGAUCUCUGAGUUUGGGACCAGCCUGGUCUACAGAGUGAGCUCUAGGACAGCCAGGACUAUAUGGAGAAACCAUGUCUCAAAAACAAAGCUAAUAAUAAUAACAACAACAACAUCGUGGUGGUGGUACAUGCCUGGGAUCCUAGAGAAGAGGAGGCUGAGGCUGGAGGAUCAUAAGUUCCAGGCCAUUCCAGACCCACGCAGGCUCUGUCUGACGAGACCCUAACUAGACAAGGACACACUGUGCUACUGAGCAUCCAGAACAUCGAGUUCAGGAUGAAGCGUGCACACACGGAGUCUGGUUUCCAGGGUGAUGCGGGUGGGUGACAGGAGAGGGUUUCUUUCUGGGACACUUAAAGUGGCAGUGCGGUUUUAAUGGCUAGAUUGUUCACGGGUAUGACCUCUUCCCCCAAACUACUAAAAACUCUCCCUCUGGUUUCCUUGCAAUAAGAAGCACAACGCCAUCAUUUCCACAAAGGGAGUUUCCACACAGGAUAACCACUAACAGCCCUUGCAACCGGCAACUAAGAGAACACACGAGCCUCGGGCCAGACACACAGGGCUCUGUCCCACCCCCACACAGUGGCUAGCCCCGUAGCAACCAUAGGAAGAAGCAAGGGAAACCAGAACCCUGGACAGACAGAGCCAAGGUUACCACGGACACCAUCAGAUCAUCGGAAGCCCUCUUCUUUCCUGGCCACUGCUCGGAUGACAGUCACGGUCACAGUAGCUGUGUGAGCUCUGAAGCCCGAAGCUUGUACCUCACCUGAGAGAAGCUUGAUGGGGCUCCUGUGAUCCCUGAAGUAAAUGUGACACGGAGGGCCAGUCACCUGCCCAGGCUCACCCAGCUGUGGCAAAUCACGCUGGAACCCAGGCAGGGCAAAGUCACGUUCAUGCCCCUGGCACCUCCCUCUCCACUCUCCUCCACCUCCACUCUACUAUCCUACCCGCCCCCUCACCUCAGACGCCUUGUUCUGUGAUCCUGGCCCAUGAGAUAGGCGGAAUAGAGAGACUGUGGGUGCUGAGUGGGGCUCAGCCCUCUGCAGCACAUGGUCUAGGGGAAAGGGGGCAUCCCUGCCCCUAGCAUCAGAUGUCCCACUUGUAAGAUAGGGAUUGUGGGAAUACUCAGGACACUGGAAUAAGAAUGUCACACAUGAACACUGAUGGGAACUGGGACGCCAUGGCAGCGUAGACUAAUGACAGAGAUCAUAUUUAUUAGUGAUGGCCUCCCAAGGAGGAAGAACCCACCCCCAGGACAACACCCACUGGGAAGGCACUUAGCCUAUUUUAGACAAACAGGUUGGGAGUCGGAAGAGAAACUGCCCCCUAGCCAGAAUGGUAGCACCUGUUAUCCCAGGUACUUAGGGAGCUGAGGCAGGAGGAUUGUAAAUUUGAAACCAGCCUACAUAGCUUAGCAAGCCCCUGUCUCAAAAGUAGAAAGGGGACUGGGAUGUGGCUCAGUAUAGAGCAUUUGUGGAAAGCCCCAAAAAAGGGAGAGGGAGAGAAGGAGGGAUAACGCUACUGCCCCAAAGGUCUUGGUCUGGAAGCAGUCACUCACAAGAGGAAGGUCUAGCCAUUUGAUACCCAGAGACCUCUGACUUCUGUUGCCCCCUACUCUGACGAAUAGAAGGCAAGUCUUGUGGCCAAUGCUGGGCCAGGCCAAGUGGCGUGACCGCAGGGUCUUAUGCCCGCCACAUCCUUUCUGAGUUUUGUUGCUAGGGCUCAGCUCUAGGAGCAACCAGCCCUUCUCCACCCCGGGCCAUGGCUGCUUGCAGAUCAUUGCCCUUGGGACCAAGUGACCCACUUACCAUCAGGUCAGUGUUGCCACCCUAGUGGCCAGCAAGAAGGGCCACUAGAAAGCCCCAAGAGACAUCCCACCUUCCCUGCCUCCUCCAGGGCAGCUUGAAGCCUGUGGUGAGGGGUGUUUAAGCCAUCUCCCCUAAAUUCUGUCUUCCCCAUGCCAGACCACACACUGUGAGGCUCAAUGAACCUCACACCCACAAAUGGUGACAGCAGCAGUGGGCCCGCUUUCAUAGACAAGAGCCUGAAGCCCAGAGAGGACUAGCCAGUAAGCUGUAGUCACACAGCGGGCUAGCAGAAGGGCUCAGGCACCAGGGAGCCCCGCUCCCUUUCUCCAGGUUGUACCUUUUAGCUUUAGAGAGAGAGAAUUAGAACCCAAAUCCUUCCCAGGUUUACCCUGAACCCCUCUGGGGACUCACAAAGAGGGACAAGCAUUCAGCCCACAAAGGACACACAAAACCAAGAAAACCUCAGAGGGCUGGGCUGGCCCCUUCUGCAAGCGCAGGGCUGUGGGCUAGUUUCCGGUGGCUUCUGAGGCUCAGCUCAGCUGCCAAAGUCACUCUGUCAGGCCUCAGAGCAGAACUUACGGUGAGCCCUGUGUCACACACUGCCUGACUCUGGUUUCUGAGGGGCCGUCCUGAAAGGCUGUUGUGGUCUCUCCUCUUCACGUGCACAGCUCUGCCAAGUCCUCCCAGCACCCAGGGUUGGCCUCUUUGGGACUCUUUAGGGAAGGAACCAGGUCUCACAGAACAAAUGUCUUCCUAGACAGUGCUCGACACAGGCCUGGAGGAUGGGAGAGGACCAUGAGGGCGACAGCUGAGUGAGAUGGACAGAGGGACAGGAGGACAGGAGGACAGGACAGCAACCCCAGACUCGAGAGUCGAGCACUUUCUGAUAGCCCAGAAGCAAGUGAGAUAGAGAGGACAGGGCAGCUCUGGGUGGGGACAGAGGAGGGAGAGGUCAACAGAAGGGCAGGCCCCAUUCAUUACGACCAAGGAGCAUCUGGGAGGGUUGAGGUCUGACCUUGGGACACCGAGAAGCUGCCAUGUGUCCUAACAUUUGGGCUGAGGCCCUGGUGAGGCACACAGGAAACAUUUCAAGCCACAGCUUCCUCUAGGGAAGUUGAGGGUGAGAACCUCUCUCCUGACAACACAGCCUGAGGCUACUGUCCGCACUACAGCACCACAGAACUCAACUUGUUCACCCUGUUCAUGAUACACACGGGUUGGUUUAGAUGCUUGUGAAGAUUUGUAUAUGCUCGGCCCAGGGAGUGGCACUGUUAGCAGGUGUGGUCCCACUGGAGUAGGCGUGGCCCUAGUAGAGUGGGUGUGGCCCUGUUGGAGUAGGCGGGGUCCUAUUGGAGUGGGUGUGGCCCUGUUGGAGUAGGUGUGUCACUGUGGGUAUGGGCUUUAAGACCCUCAUCCUAGCUGUCUAGGGGCCAGUCUUUUCCUAGCAGCCUUCAGAUGAAGAUGUAGAACUCUCAGCUCCUCCUGCACCAUGCCUGCCUGGAUGCUGCCAUGUUCCCACCUUCAUGAUAAUGGACUGAACCUCUGAACCUGUAAGCCAGCCCUAAUUAAAUGUUGUCCUUAUAAGAGUUGCCUUGGUCAUGGUGUCUGCUCACAGCAGUAAAACCCUAAGACAAUACUAUAGCCUUCUUGGAGAGGCCCUGGACACCUGCUGUGUGAGCACACUCAUGGGUUGAGACCACCAACCAUAGCUAUUGACCAUGCUAAGAGGCAGCGUGCAGCCCACAGCAUGGGAGUUCUUCAGCACCCACUCGCACCUUACCGUUUAACGAUCCCCCUUCCUCUGAUCACUUCUGUGCAGAUGGGACCUCUCAGGCAUUCCUUUCCCCCACAGGAUGACUCCACCCUCCAAACACAAUCACCAGCCUCUGUUGCCCAUCUCAGGCAGGGCACAAUAACCUGGCCCAUUUGACAAGUACCUGGGGACCAAUGGUACACAUCUGAGGCUUAAUGCGCAGAUCCAAGCCCAAAGAAAUGGCCUGCUUUACACGGAAGGCUGGCUCUAAGAAAUGGGGUGGGGUGGGUGCUGGCCCAAAGCCACACAGCCAACGGCUUGAGGUUCAUGAAGUUUGUCUCUCAGGCUUUUCGCUUGCACCUCAAGUCCAAAGAGAAGGAAUCUGACCCAAAGCCAGGUAAGACUGAGUCUGACUCCAGAAUCUACGCCUCCACAGUGCGGCCUUCACAGUGCAUAAGGCAAACAGUUUGUUUCUGGCUGCUGGCCAUGACACCUGAGCCCAUGAGAGCCAGUAAGAAGCCAGGCAACUUCGAGAGGUGCCCAAGCUUUUUCCUUUGGCCUUCAAGGGUAGGACGGCUGGCUCUGCACAGAUCGAUCCUGUUUUUGAUAGUGUGUGAGGCAAAUGGAGACGGGGAAACUUUCCGGGUGAUGCUCUAGUUAACAGUGUGCCUUUGUGUAGGACCCGAGGAAACGUGUGUGUGAACAUGGUUCCCUCAAAGGGCAGAACGAAGCCGGCCUGUAAAGAAGGAAGCUUUCUUGCAGUCUGUACAAGGUUUGCAACUGUGUUACAGUGAGAGGUCACCUAGAGACCCCGUGUGGGUUUGAGGACACUGCUGUCUGCUAGAAAGUGUGUGACAGGAGUCUUUCUGCUUUGCAGGCUCCCACCUGCCAUUUCAACUGCUCAGCAGGUAGGGCCAUGACAAGUGAGCCCAAGGCUAGCCUGGGCUAAAGAGUGAGUCCAAGGCCAGCCUGGGCAACGUAGUGUGGUACACUCAAGGGAAAAAGGCAAGAUACCUGCCUAGCAUAUAUGCGGUCACAUUUAACCCCAGUACCAAAAAAAAAAAAAAAAAAAAAAGUAAACAUGAGACCCAGAGAAGAAAAUUAUCUACUUCCCUAACAGGAAGUUGACCCCUCCUUGUUGACAGGCUCGACUUGCCCAAGGCUGGAAUGACCCAGAGGAAGUAAAGUCUAAAGAUAGGCCCAUCAGAGUGACACCAGCAUCCCGCACAGAGCUCUUAUCAGUUGACCCUCAACCUCCCAGCAUCAGGGAGGAUCCAGCAGGCGCUCAAUGUGGGGGGAAUUUCAGGACAAGUCCAGAUCACACACAUGACAUAAAGAGGUUGGGGCAGGGCCGGGCGGCUGGUUGUCUCUUCCCUGGCUAUCCCUGCAGGUGUCUGUUCCUGUAAAACUAGAUAGGGCCCCUUCCUCCCUCCACCUCUUGUCUUACCAGACAAGACCCAGGAGAAUUCAAACAACAGGUUUGCUUCAGAAACUGGGACAGACUUUGGAGCCGGCCCAGAGCCACACAUACCCAGGUGAUACCUAGCAAAGGUUGGUUCAACCCAUGGGCUAAGAACUGCCGUUCUAGAAGAGGCAGACACCGGAGACCUAACGGUCCUCAUCUUGGAGCCUCCCUUCCUUCCACCCCAGGUCUUAGACUACUCAAGAACUCAUCCCAGAGUUCUCAAGCUGCCCCAGCAGCUGCAGCUCACCAGGGAAGACGACAGAAUCCUGCCAGUGUGGGCCAGGCAUCUCUCCAGGGAUUACCUCAUCUGUCUCACACAGCACAGGCAUCAGGGAUGCGCCCCCACACGAUACAUGUCAUCACCAAUGAUCAGAAAGGCUAAGCAACAUUCAGGACAAUUUCUCCUUUCUGGAGAAAAAUGUAACCAUGUGUAUCACUCACAAGAGAGCAAGCAAACUGAUCAGGGUCCUCCAGCCAGUGAGCACCUAACAGAGGGGAGGAUGGACACAGGAUGCUUGUGGCUGUGCUGUGGAAAGUGUCAUAAACUGUAAACCACCCCGAUGCCCAGCCACAGUAAACAACUGAAGUACAAAAGGUUUCUGAACCUAGCGGAUGGCACUGUAUUUGGUAAUGAAACUGGUGCCAGAUGUGAUGUGGAACCAAUGAAAACUGGACAUGAAAGGGCAUGGGUUUAUGUUUCUACCCGAGCAAAACUCAUAUUAGGGAAACCCUUGCCUAUGGGGUUAGGAGUCAGGGCAGUGUCUGCCCCAGGGCACAGAGUACUGUGAUUGAGUGUGAGGGACCUUGGGAGCAGAGAAUAUUCUAUAUCUUGAUAUGGGUAUGAGUGACUCAGGGGUCUCCUUGGAUGAGUAUGGGGCUGAAGAGAUGGCUCAGUGGUUAAGAGCGCUGACUGCUCUUCCAUAAGUCCUGAGUUCAAUUCCCAGCAACCACAUGGUGGCUCAUAACCAUCUGUAAUGAAAUCUGAUACCCUCUUUUGGUGUGUCUGAAGACAGCUACAGUGUGCUCAUAUACAUGAAAAUAAAUCUUUUUUUUAAAAAAAGGUGACACUUUUUUUGACAGGGUCCGAUUUCUCCCAAGAUAGCUUUAAACUUACUAUUGUAGCAAGAGAUGACGACAAAGUCCCUGAUCCCCCUGCCUCCACUUCCUGAGCACGGGGAUUACAAGUGUGUGCCACCACGUCCAAAUUUAAUAGGAGCUGGGGCCCAAACCCAAUGCUCUGUGUGUUUUCUGAUGCCCAUGAGUCAAUCAAAACCUUAAUCCAUCCAGAACUCCCCUGCGGAGGGAGGUGUGGGUCCCGAAAGUGAGACUCCCAACAAGUAUGGAGCAUGCGCAUGUGUAUCCCUGCUUCGUCCCAGCAUCCCUGGCAACCCUGCAACCGUUCUGGCCCAAACGCUUGGGAAGAACCGGAAGUGCUUCUGACCUGGGACUGUUUUCAACAUGUCUUUCUGUACCAAAUCUGUACUUGCUACGUCUUUUACCCGGUGGUCUAUUGCUGUGCUGGGUGCCCUGAACUGUGUCCACGCAGUCCUCUUUAGAGAGAAUCUCUUGUGUUCUGUGUGGAAGCUUCACCUGUCAAUAAAAAGCCGAUGGCCUUCAGCUGACGCAGGAAAUAGGAGGCGGGAGUUUCCAUAAGGAGAAAGGAACCCUGGGAUAGAGUCAGGCCCAGGAACAGCGAGUCAGGGAACAAGCCCAAACUUCUGGCCUAGGCAUUUGUUUGUAAAUAUAGAGUCUCAGGGUCGUUAUUUUGAGAACUGGGGCACGGGUUGAAAAGCCCAUGGCUAUAAUCCCCCUGCCUCAGCUGCAUCUUCAGCCAUUUCUUCAGCACUCAUACUGAAAAGGGCAGAACUGGGCUGCACCGCAAUUACCAGAAACUCAGGCUUAUUCUGUGCCGCGUGGCAUCUGUACCAGGUGAUGGUGUACACAUUCUUCUGAGCAGAACAAACCCAAGGAGCAAGGAUGAGUAUACAGAGCCAGCCACAGAAGCUUGCCUGCCCAGUAACAAAAGCUAGUAACAACCAUACGAUGGAGAAAGUACCAAACCCCAGGAAACCACGGUCACCCUGCAUCAUCCUUGAUUUGGAAUACUAUACAGCCUUGAAAACUUACUUGAGACACUUGAUCUAGAAUACUAUACAGCCUUGAAAAUUUAACUUGAGACAGAAUCUUAUGUAUCUCAGGCUGCCUUGAACUCUCUCCUUGGUUGAGGAUAAUACUCCUGCCUUCACCCUCCAAGUGCUGGGACUACAAGCACACAUCUCCACACCUGGCUUGUGUACUUCUGGGGAUGGAACCCAGUGCCUCCUGCAUGCUAAGCAAGCACUCUACGAACUGAGAGACCUCUCCAGCCCUUGAAAAACUAUUCUAAAGUAUCAAGAGUCAAUAUUUAAUGUUCCCAGUGUGCCAAGGGGACAGUCCAACUAGCCAAGAGGAUAAUGCACAUAAGUGCACAGAAAAAAAGCGUGACGGAGCUCAUGGUGCUGGGACUUGAGACUUGUCUUUAGCCUCCCUGUGUUUCCCAGUUUCUCUCCGUACAGUGCGUAGGCAUCAGCCGUGAUGACAUUUCCUGGCACCUGGCACCUGGCAUAUGGGACAGCAGACGCUCACAAAAAUAUUAAUAAGUCAUCCUUGGCUCAGUGCCAUUGUCUGGGCACACGUAGUCUUGUAAAGGACAUGCCUCCCUUCCUUUUCUCUCUCCCACUUUGAGACAGGCUCUCAGGAAACCCAGGCUAGCCCCCAACUCACUUACAUAGCCAAAGAUGACCUAGAACCCCCAUCUGUACCUGAGAGCAGGGAUUACAGGCAUGAGCUGCCAAGCCUGUUAAUGCUGUGCUGGGCACUGAACUCAGAGCUUCAUGCAUGCUAGGGAAAUGCUCUCCAACGGACCUAUAGCCCCAGCUCUUCAUCCUGGACUAUUUGAGACAGGGUUGUAACAGUAACUUGUAUUCGCUAGAUGUAAUCUUCACCUCGAAGACUUGCUGCUGAAUAAGCUCACCCUUUCUAGUUCUUUCUGAACUCUGGUUGGCUGGUUAAACUCAGCCGCUCUGGCUCAAAACUCCUCUCCAAGCUGAUGAACUCAACCUAGCUUCUCUCUGCUUGGCCUCAAACAAGUCUGGCAAUCUGUUCUGAACUUCUGGCUCCUCCUCAGUGUCUGGCUCAUUCUUUACCUACAACCUGUCAGUGUAAAACUGUCUCAGGAAAACUGCCUCCUCUUCCCCCAAUGCCUGCUCCUCUCUCCUCUUUCUUCUCCUUCUCCUCCUCCCCCCCUCCUUCUCCUCCUCCUCUUCUCCUCUUCUCCUCUUCUCCUUUCUCUCUCUCUUUCUCUCUCUCUCUCGCUCUCGCUCUCGCUCUCGCUCUCGCUCUCACUUUUCAGUAGCCUCUCUUUCCUGUGCCCUUCUCAUGAGAGUUGGGUGUAUUCUGACUCAUCCUGUCAAAUCUUUCUCCAAUUCAUCACUUUGCCUCUCAAUCAGACAUUACUUUCAAACAUGCAUGCUGGCUGCUUCCUUCUACAAACUAACUUUACCUUCACUGUUUGGGAUUAAAGGUGUGUGCACGUCUGUAUUCCAGCCAGAGGGGUUAAAGCCGUGUCUGUAUUCUAGUCAAAGGGAUUAAAGCUAUGUACUAAGGGUGUGUCUGUACUCCAGCCUGAACACACAGACCUAGGCUGCCUUUGGGUGUGAUCCCUGGCCAGAGCAGCCAAAUUGCUGGAUUAAAAUCCCUCUACACUGGGGCUAGGGAGAUGGCUCAGUGGUUAGAGCACCGACUGCUCUUCCAGAGGUCCUGAGUUCAAAUCCCAGCAACCACAUGGUGGCUCACAACCAUCUGUAAUGGGAUCUGAUCCCCUCUUCUGGUGUGUCUGCAGACAGCUACAGUGUACUCAUAUACAUAACAAAUAAAUAAAUAAAUAAAUAAAUAAAUCCCUCUACACAGGGUCUCACUAUGUAACUCAUACCACGCUGGCCACAAACUCACAGAGAUCCACCUGCCUCUGCCUCCCAAGGGCUGGGUUCAAAGGUGUGGCCACCAUGCUUGUGGUAAAUCGUGCUUCCUAGAGUUUCUAAUAACAGCUGACCCACGUGCGGGUGAAAUUAAUUUUAGGAUUACAUUUUCUUUAGUUCACGAUAUCUGAAAUACUACCAAGUCGACAUGUGACCCACAUAACGUAAUAACAAGGCCUCAGGAGGCCAUGUGCAUUCUGCUCCUCACAAGAGUGAUGGGAAAGGUAUUUCCAGCUCUGGGGGUGGGGUGGGAGGGAUCAUUUGAUGGGGAUCCCUGCAGCCUGAGACAUGAGGGCAUGGGGGUGGGGAGAUGGCAGGGGGAGUUUUGCUGGCUUCAUCCAUUAGAUAAGUUUUAGAACCUUCACCUUCAGGGAAGGUAGGAUUCCUGGCAAGACCUGUAUAGAACCAGAAAGGGCCAGGAACUGUGGGAGCAGCAGGUGCAGCGGACCCAGAGAGAAGCAAAGGGCCAAACACUGAGAGGCAAGUCAGCCAGAGGGGCCUGACCCUGCUCUCCUCAGAGGCUCCCUAAGCUUCCCUACCUCCCGCUGUGCCCAGCAGCCACACCACCUAUAUAUGGAUGUUUGACACCGAGGGGGGACUCUCAGGGUACGAGGAGCUGUGUGAUUCAGUAUCUCAUAGACAGGCUAGGACUCUGCCCACACAGAACUCUCCAUGAACGUAGAGAUCAGCCCAGGCCCAGGCCAGCAGCAAGGAGAGGCAGCUCUGAGCCCCUUCCUUAAGCAGGCUCCGUUCUGCCGAUCUGCCUGCCGCCGCCUCCUCUGAGAAAACAAUAACACCUCCCACCUCCUGGGAAGUGGCUCCGUGGUGACAUGCCCUCUCAGUCACAAACACUAUUCACAGCUCUCCAAGGUGGCAACAGCCUUGUCUCCUGUGGAUGACUGCAUGAAAGGAGAAAUGCAUUGGGCUGUUCACAGUCAAGAGAGGCCAUGGGGACCCUCACUGGCACACAGAGCAUUGACAACAUCAUAGCCAGCACCAAAGCCACCUGGUCCACACCCGGUCUACAUGUCAAGUGAUGUACCAGGUGACUCCAUGGGAAUGGAGCAGGACUCUUGCUGGGCAAGGGGCAGGAGGAGAGGAUAAAGAUGGGUAAUGGGUGGGUACAGAGUUUAAUUGGUGGUGGUGGUGGGGUGAUGGAAUGUUCUGGAAACCGAGAUGGUAGUUUAGAACACUGAAUGCAUUGAAUUCUGUUCACAGUA